UACGUAGGGUGCGAGCGUUGUCCGGAAUUAUUGGGCGUAAAGAGCUCGUAGGCGGUGUGUCACGUCGGCCGUGAAAACCUGCAGCUUAACUGGGGAACUGCGUCCGAUACUGGAUGGCUCGAGUUUGGGAGAGGGAUGCGGAAUUCCAGGUGUAGCGGUGAAAUGCGUAGAUAUCUGGAGGAACACCGGUGGCGAAGGCGGCAUCCUGGACCAACACUGACACUGAGGAGCGAAAGCCAGGGGAGCAAACGGG
rnacentral:rRNA from 1 species